ACAAAUUCGAUGAACAGAACAGGGUUUUCUUAAUUGGAACGCAUUGCAGAGAGCUGUCGGCAGGUGUGAGACAGUAUGCAGAUAAGAGAGCUAUCCUCUGUGAGAAGUGCACUGAAAUGGCAGAGCGAUUUGCGACGGUAGGUGUCACCGGGAUUCUCCCGUUAUAGAGAAGCUUAUUGAGGGGCUAUCAUUGACUGAUGCGCCGGGAGAUAAGGCAGAGAGGUCGCGUGAAGCGGCAAAUAAAGUGGUACCGCGGAAGAAUAUCAGCUUUCGUCUUUAAA
rnacentral:ncRNA from 1 species